UGUGCUUGCACCUGCAUUGUCGCAUAGCACACUCCUACAUGCGACACAUGUAUCAUUAACAUGCUAGCUCUCCACCCCUGGGUGUGAUUUUUACUCUGGUAAUAGGGCUAGGGUCACCUUCAGUGGACUCCUGGGUGCUAGGGCACGUGCGUAAGCCCACAAAAGUCCAGAAGCUGCGGAAUGUGGAUCUUGGUGGCCUCUGAUUCUCCUAUCUUGCUGAUUGGUUAGGGGCCUUAUGUUGUUAGGCCAGGGGCCUUGCAGAUGGCCCUGUCUCAUUAGGCUGGUGCCUUCCUCUCAUCUGCAA